AUGUUAUCGAGGAGGAAGCUGCUGCUCUUUGAAGUGAGCUUCACGUUGUGCUUUAAACUUCUGGGGGCUGGAAGCCUCCAGCACCAGGGACAUCUUUUGUACAGAUCCACUGGGUCUGAGGGCUGGGAGCACACGUGGUGCAGAUCUCCCUAAUAGCGUGCAAAACCUCUGGGAGGUUUUUUGCUUUCGAGGAGCCCAGCAGAUUGGGGCAGUGCUGCUGGUGGUGGCUGUGCCAGGGUGGUGGAAUUGGGUCAUGUCCUGAGUCCUGCAUGCAGGGUUAUGCUUGUCUGGGUCAUUGGAAAACUUUGCGCUUUGCAUCUCUGGUGCUGCCUGAAUUCACCCCCAAAAUGCCCACCUUGAUGCCACGGAUCAGGCUGAGAGCAGGAAAUAGGCAGGGAGUGGGAGCGAUCCCAUCCUGGCUCUGGGGGAUUCAAUGCACCUGGGGAGGGUCAGGGUGGACCUGGGCGGCAGAGAUUGGUUCGUUAAGGAGUGCUGAGCACAGCAAAGGGCACGGUGCUAACGAGCAGCACGUGGAGCUGUGUCAAGCAUGACUCUUGCCAUGCGUUAAGCUGCACUCGGAGUGUGAUAGUGCUUUCAGAAUGACUGCCUCUGCCAGCUCAGGGCAUACAGUGUUGCGUGUCCCCAUGCAACCUCAGCACAGCUGCAGGGGUGCAGCAGGGGGAGCAGUGGAGGAGGAUGCGGGCAGGUGGCUCCACCAAAAACCCUUACACUUGCUUCCUGCAGCAGCUUCUGCACUGAAGCUUCUCCCAAAUAACUCCUUGGGGCUUUGUAGCAUGACAGCUCGGCGAUGGUAGAACAUUGUCACUGUGGUGUUGGAUGGAGCCCGCCUCCAGCAUCCCCCGGGCAAACGUUCUCCUGACCCUGAGUACUGCCUUCUCCCACAGACCCAGCACAAGGGCUGCCUGCUGAGCACCACGGGACGAGCACAGCUGCCACCACGAGCAAAGGAUUCACCCCGGGGGCAUCGGGAAUGGCCUCUCCACUGCCCAGGAGCCGCCGCCGUGCAGAGCUGCACGCAGCCGGAGUGUGCGGGGAGCCCAUGUAGGACGGAGCCGUCUGCGGGUGCCAGCACAGCACAAGGGACGCUCUUGCACGGAGCUGGUGCGUGUCGUCGAAGGAGCUGUGCCUCUUCCAGCGCCGCCGGAGCUACAAAGCAAAUGCAUGGAGCAUUUUGGCGGAGGAGGAGCCCUACCCCGGCCCCAGCCCUCCCAGCUGUGUCAAUAGAGGAAGAAGAAACAAAAGUGCUCUUUCUUCGCCCGUUGUUUUUGCAGAGGGGGACACGCUGGUGGCCGUCGUUGCGCGGUGACACUCGCUGCACGGGGCGGGCGAGUUGGAGGCUGUGCUCGGCCUUUGGGAAGCAGCCACCAGCAGGGUGCUAGGAGGGAGCUCCCAGAAAUCUGCCGGGAUGGAUAUAUUGAUGUUUCCUUUCGCCCACGGCUCUGUGUGACAGGGAGCAGGUCACCGAAGGACGGGCUCUCUCCAUUUCUCCAUGGCUCAGGCCUUUGCGCCCAGCAGCAUGCUGGGAUUUGCUGGGCCAUCUCAUGCCCGGCUGCAGCAGCUCCCUCAGUGCAUUGCAGGACCCAGCCAGCCCUGCACGUCUGCACGCCCAAUGAUGUUUGAAUGGACUUCAAGUUUGCACACAAACCCCUCCAGAAAAGACUCAAAUGGGAGAUGAUGCCUGACCAACCCAGCGGCCUUCUGUGAUGGUGUAACUGCAUUAGCAGACAAGAGGAGAGCUGCUAGUGUCACCUACCUGGAUGUCAGGGAGGCCUUUGCCACCCAUAACAACUUUCUCUCCAAACAGGAAGGAUGUGGAUUUGAUGGGUGGAACUGUUUGGUGAAUGAGUUGCAAGGUGGUACCCAGAGAGUGGUGCUCAGUGGCUCAGUGUCCGGAUGGAGAUUGGUGGCAGCAGUGUCCCUCAGGGGCAGUACUGGGACCAGUGCUCUUUAAUGCCUUGCACCCUCAGCAAGUUUGAGAGAGGCCUUCAUGUCCCUAAAGCGGGGCUGUAAAAGGGAAGGGGAAGGACUCUUCAGCAAGGCCUGUUGGGACAGGACAAGGGGAAACGGUGUCACACUAAAAGAGGGGACAUCCGGAUGGAGUAUAAGGAAUGGUGCUUUAAGGAUGGCGCUUGCAGCCCCGAAGCCAAGCUGGCCAUGCAUGCCAUCACUUUGCACGGAGCCCAACCUGACGUGGAGAGGAUGAGUCACGCAGCGAGGAGAUAAAGCGGAGCAGCUCUGAUCCACGCCUCUCCUUGAAAAGCAGCAGAUGGAUGCGCAGCGUUCGCGGGGGCACGGCGAUAGGGAUCGGCAGCUCAUCCUCUGUCAUCCCCACUGCCGCCGCCCGUUCCCACGCAUAUAUCCAUUUUAAUCUCGAGGAUG
ensembl:lncRNA